rnacentral:lncRNA from 1 species
CCCCGGGUCGACCCAGGACACGUUGGAGAGGUUACAUCUCCAAUCUGGUCCGGGAACGCCUUGGGGUCCUGCCGGAGGAGCUGGUGGAGGUGGCCGGGGAGAGGACAGUCUGGAGCUCCCUAGUUGGGAUGCUGCCCCCGCGACCCGGACCCGGAUAAGCGGAGGAAGACGAAGACGACGACGAAAAGUAUAACUAUCGUUCACUGAGACCCAACAGAGAUCAGAAGGAAGAUAUGCGCGAUAGUUAAAAAUUAGUUUGAAGGUAACUGAGACUGAUGUUUAGUGUUUGUAUUUAAAAGUCAUCUUCUAGUUUUUAGGCGCAAUAACACACAAGGGUCCUUCAGGCGUGUUCACGUUUUCCCCCAGCUGGUAAUUAUGUGAUUCAUUACUUAUAUACUUAGAUACUCUCAGUGUGUUCUGUGAGAAGUUCAGUCAUAAAUUUGCUAGAAAAACAAGCUUUAUUAGUUAUAUUUGCUACAGUUAGCGUGUUGCUAAUUAGUUACACCCCCAGAAAUUUAAACAAACAAAUUUGCCACUCAAAGGCUGCUGUUUGGGUUUUAGCUACGUUAGCUUACAGCUAACGCUUCAGUUAGCUUACAGCUAACGCUUCAUAACCCGUCUGUAUUCUAAACAGGUUUAAAAACAGUUAGCUUCAUUUUACAACUCAAAGUAUAGGUUUGGCACAAAAUUAGUAGAGGUUUACUUUAGAUGUCUAAUGAAUUACGUUUACUUACUGAAAAGCCACCAGACAAGUGUGACUGAAUGCCCCAGCCCAGUCAAGGUAGCACGGCUAGCUGCUUUGGCUUUUGUUCAAAUUAUAUUAGCUGGAGGGGACUCCUGUGUGAAGCUGUCAAGCACACAUUGAUGGGAGAUUGUAUCUUCUGUUGUACCAGGUAAGCUCAUAAAUAAAUGGUCAAAAGUGUGUUUUAUUAGCUUAGCUAAUCGUAUUCUAAUCUAUCUGGUUUGUAAAAAAGUCAACUGAGAAACAUGUUGUUCAUAACUUGUAACUUUAGCUUCCUAACUUGUAAUUCUAAAUUUUUACUUGUAUUUCUUGUUUUGUAACAGGAAAUUUUCAUUUUGUACAUAUAUUUUUUAUUUUGUAAAAUCAAACUUUUAUUUUGUAAAUUUACUACUCAUUUUGUAACAUCAAACAUUUAUUCAGAAUUGUGAAACUUUCGGUUUUUACCUAGCAGACUUCCAAAAUAAAAAAGUCAAUGUACAUGUUUGAAAUCAAAACUCUCUAAACACACAUUUCAUUCUACAGGUACAAACCUUACCUAGACUGAUCUUAGUGUUUAUCUGUGCUUUUAGCACCCCCUAAUGUCUGUUUGUAGGACUGAAAGUAAAAUUAUUUCUUGAAUGUGCAUUCGUCUUUUUAACACCUUAAUUUAGCAGAUGAAAUGUCUCCCCAGCCUUCUUUAGUGUCUUGUCUCCCCAGCCUUCUUUAGUGUCUACAGGAGUGGCUCUUCAAUAGAUUAAACAAAUCAGCUGUGUUAAUGAUCUAAAACAUGCAGGAAAUGUGCUAAAAGCUGACUACAGUGCCAGGUAUGUCAGCUCAAGUCACAACAGAUCGGCCCCCAGUCUGAAGUUGCAAGUAGAAUAUUCUGGCUAGAUUUGGCAACUGGAAUGUCNCUUACAGCUAACGCUUCAGUUAGCUUACAGCUAACGCUUCAUAACCCGUCUGUAUUCUAAACAGGUUUAAAAACAGUUAGCUUAAUUUUACAACUCAAAGUAUAGGUUUGCCACAAAAUUAGUAGAGGUUUACUUUAGAUGUCUAAUAAAUUACGUUUACUUACUGAAAAGCCACCAGACAAGUGUGAGAUAAUUCCCCAGCCCAGUCAAGGUAGCACGGCUAGCUGCUUUGGCUUUUGUUCAAAUUAUAUUAGCUGGAAGGGGUAAGUACAUGUCAGCCGAGACAUCGUACGUUGUUAAUAACUCAGUUUUAUGUUGAGUUAAGUAGCUUAUGUGAUUCAUUACUGAUACUUAGAUACUCUCAGUGUGUUCUGUGAGAAGUUCAGUCAUAAAUUUGCUAGAAAAACAAGCUUUAUUAGUUAUAUUUGCUACAGUUAGCGUGUUGCUAAUUAGUUACACCCCCAGAAAUUUAAAACGAACAAAUUUGCCACUCAAAGGCUGCUGUUUGGGUUUUAGCUACGUUAGCUUACAGCUAACGCUUCAGUUAGCUUACAGCUAACGCUUCAUAACCCGUCUGUAUUCUAAACAGGUUUAAAAACAGUUAGCUUAAUUUUACAACUCAAAGUAUAGGUUUGACACAAAAUUAGUAGAGGUUUACUUUAGAUGUCUAAUAAAUUACGUUUACUUACUGAAAAGCCACCAGACAAGUGUGAGAUAAUUCCCCAGCCCAGUCAAGGUAGCACGGCUAGCUGCUUUGGCUUUUGUUCAAAUUAUAUUAGCUGGAAGGGGUAAGUACAUGUCAGCCGAGACAUCGUACGUUGUUAAUAACUCAGUUUUAUGUUGAGUUAAGUAGCUUAUGUGAUUCAUUACUGAUACUUAGAUACUCUCAGUGUGUUCUGUGAGAAGUUCAGUCAUAAUUUUGGUAGAAAAACAAGCUUUAUUAGUAAUAUUUGCUCCAGUUAGCAUGUUGCCAAUGGAAGCUAACUGCUCGCUAAAUGAGGUACUUAGAUUUAUUUACCGUCCUUUUCCCAUCCUGAACAGACUCCUGUGUGAAGCUGUCAAGCACACAUUGAUGAGAGAUUGUAUCUUCUGUUGUACCAGGUAAACUCAUAAAUAAAUGGUCAAAAGUGUGUUUUAUUAGUAGCUUAGCUUAUCGUAUUCUAAUCUAUCUGGUUUGUAAAAAAAAAGUAAACUGUUCAACUGUUGACAUGUUGUCAAAGAAAUAAAGUGUAAUAAUAACAACCAUUAUAUGAUCACAGAGCAGAGUAAUAUGUAAGCUGGUGGAGACUCUUGUAUGAUUCUGUCAAACACACAUUAAUGGGAGAUUGUGUGCUUUUAUGGAGCUAGGAUUGGGACAAUAUUCAAUGUAACUUCUACCAAGUUUUGUAACUUGGAACAUGUUUCAUGACAUGUAACUUUGGAUUCAUAACUUGUAACGUUGGAUUCAUAACUUGUAACUUUAGUUUCCUAACUUGUAAUUCUAAAUUUUUACUUGUAUUUCUUGUUUUGUAACAGGGAAUUUUCAUUUUGUACAUGUAUUUUUUAUUUUGUGAAAUCAAACUUUUAUUUUGUACAUUUACUACUCAUUUUGAAACAUCAAACAUUUAUUCAGAAACAUGAAACUUUCGGUUUUUACCUAGCAGACUUCCAAAAUAAAAAAAAUCUAUGUACAUGUUUGAAAUCAAAACUCUCUAAACACACAUUUCAUUCUACAGGUACAAACCUUACCUAGACUGAUCUUAGUGUUUAUCUGUGCUUUUAGCACCCCC